GGUGGGGUGGCUGAGUGGACGAAAGCGCUUGCUUGGAGAGCAAGUGUGUUCGCAAGAGCACCCAGGGUUCGAAUCCCUGCCCCACCGCCA
rnacentral:tRNA from 1 species